rnacentral:rRNA from 1 species
CUUGGAAAAGUCAGUCAAAGAGGGUAAAAACCCCGUAGACGAAAUGUGGAAGACACCUAGGAGGAUCCUGAGUACGGCGGAACACGAGAAAUUCCGUCGGAAUCCGGGAGGACCAUCUCCCAAGGCUAAAUACUCCCUAGUGACCGAUAGUGAACCAGUACCGUGAGGGAAAGGUGAAAAGCACCCCGGAAGGGGAGUGAAAUAGAACCUGAAACCGUGUGCCUACAACAAGUCAAAGCCCGUUAAUGGGUGAUGGCGUGCCUUUUGUAGAAUGAACCGGCGAGUUACGAUUGCAUGCGAGGUUAAGUUGAAGAGACGGAGCCGCAGCGAAAGCGAGUCUGAAUAGGGCGUUUGAGUAUGUAGUCGUAGACCCGAAACCAUGUGAUCUACCCAUGUCCAGGUUGAAGGUGCGGUAAAACGCACUGGAGGACCGAACCCACGUACGUUGAAAAGUGCGGGGAUGAGGUGUGGGUAGCGGAGAAAUUCCAAACGAACUUGGAGAUAGCUGGUUCUCUCCGAAAUAGCUUUAGGGCUAGCCUCGGAAUUGAGAAUGAUGGAGGUAGAGCACUGUUUGGACUAGGGGCCCAUCUCGGGUUACCGAAUUCAGAUAAACUCCGAAUGCCAUUCAUUCAUAUCCGGGAGUCAGACUGUGAGUGAUAAGAUCCAUAGUCGAAAGGGAAACAGCCCAGACCACCAGCUAAGGUCCCAAAAUAUAUGUUAAGUGGAAAAGGAUGUGGGGUUGCACAGACAACUAGGAUGUUGGCUUAGAAGCAGCCACCAUUUAAAGAGUGCGUAAUAGCUCACUAGUCGAGUGACCCUGCGCCGAAAAUGUACCGGGGCUAAACAUAUUACCGAAGCUGUGGAGUACACCUUUAGGUGUAUUGGU